AGUGAACGCUGGCGGCAUGCCUAACACAUGCAAGUCGAACGAGACCUUCGGGUCUAGUGGCGCACGGGUGCGUAACGCGUGGGAAUCUGCCCUUGGGUUCGGAAUAACUCGCCGAAAGGCGUGCUAAUACCGGAUGAUGUCGAAAGACCAAAGAUUUAUCGCCCAGGGAUGAGCCCGCGUAAGAUUAGCUAGUUGGUGAGGUAAAGGCUCACCAAGGCGACGAUCUUUAGCUGGUCUGAGAGGAUGAUCAGCCACACUGGGACUGAGACACGGCCCAGACUCCUACGGGAGGCAGCAGUGGGGAAUAUUGGACAAUGGGCGAAAGCCUGAUCCAGCAAUGCCGCGUGAGUGAUGAAGGCCUUAGGGUUGUAAAGCUCUUUUACCCGGGAUGAUAAUGACAGUACCGGGAGAAUAAGCUCCGGCUAACUCCGUGCCAGCCGCCGCGGUAA
rnacentral:rRNA from 1 species